rnacentral:rRNA from 1 species
GAUGAACGCUAGCGGCAGGCUUAACACAUGCAAGUCGAGGGGUAUAGUUCUUCGGAACUAGAGACCGGCGCACGGGUGCGUAACGCGUAUGCAAUCUACCUUUUACAGAGGGAUAGCCCAGAGAAAUUUGGAUUAAUACCUCAUAGUAUGUGAGAAUCGCAUGGUUUUCACAUUAAAGUUCCAACGGUAAAAGAUGAGCAUGCGUCCCAUUAGCUAGAUGGUAAGGUAACGGCUUACCAUGGCGACGAUGGGUAGGGGUCCUGAGAGGGAGAUCCCCCACACUGGUACUGAGACACGGACCAGACUCCUACGGGAGGCAGCAGUGAGGAAUAUUGGACAAUGGGCGCAAGCCUGAUCCAGCCAUGCCGCGUGCAGGAUGACGGUCCUAUGGAUUGUAAACUGCUUUUGUACAGGAAGAAACACUCCCUCGUGAGGGAGCUUGACGGUACUGUAAGAAUAAGGAUCGGCUAACUCCGUGCCAGCAG